GCCUUGCACCCCACGACUCCAGCGUUGGACCCACACACCUGCCCACUGCUGUGAUAGGGGGCUGAAUCUCUGCAGAUGCCUUGGAGGACAGAAGCAGCCUGAAUCCAGGGCUUGGGUGCCCCAGGCAUCAGUAUGUGCCCAGGAUACCGUGAUUCCAAUGUGAAACCACAGUUAAGAACCACUGAGUUAGAUCGUCCUGUUUCAUCCUCACAAUACAAUCGUGCAAGGGGCCGUACAUCCUCAAGGCUCUCGGAAAGGUCUUCGAUGCACGACAGGCCACGAACCACAGAUCCAAAAGCAGAAACCAUUCCUUGGCCCGAGCUUCGCCCCGUGGCUCACCGGCCGACUGAUCUUU